UACGGAGGGGGUUAGCGUUGUUCGGAAUUACUGGGCGUAAAGCGCGCGUAGGCGGAUUAGCAAGUUGGGGGUGAAAUCCCGGGGCUCAACCCCGGAACGGCCUCCAAAACUGCUAGUCUAGAGUUCGAGAGAGGUGAGUGGAACUCCGAGUGUAGAGGUGAAAUUCGUAGAUAUUCGGAAGAACACCAGUGGCGAAGGCGGCUCACUGGCUCGAUACUGACGCUGAGGUGCGAAAGUGUGGGGAGCAAACAGG
rnacentral:rRNA from 1 species